GACGAACGCUGGCGGCGUGCUUAACACAUGCAAGUCGAACGGAAAGGCCCUGCUUUUGUGGGGUGCUCGAGUGGCGAACGGGUGAGUAACACGUGAGUAACCUGCCCUUGACUUUGGGAUAACUUCAGGAAACUGGGGCUAAUACCGGAUAGGAGCUCCUGAUGCAUGGUGGGGGUUGGAAAGUUUCGGCGGUUGGGGAUGGACUCGCGGCUUAUCAGCUUGUUGGUGGGGUAGUGGCUUACCAAGGCUUUGACGGGUAGCCGGCCUGGGAGGGUGACCGGCCACAAUGGGACUGAGAUACGGCCCAGACUGCUACGGGAGGCAGCAGUGGGGAAUAUUGCACAAUGGGCGGAAGCCUGAUGCAGCAACGCCGCGUGCGGGAUGACGGCCUUCGGGUUGUAAACCGCUUUCGCCUGUGACGAAGCGGGAGUGACGGUAAUGGGUAAAGAAGCACCGGCUAACUACGUG
rnacentral:rRNA from 1 species